UGCAAAUAUUGACGAGAGUUUCCAUUUUGCAGGUGGCCCAAAGUGGAACAGUUUUCUGUUGAUGGUUGCGACAUAUGCGAGACCAAUUGAUUCGUAGCCCGAAUGGCUAUUACUAUAUAUACACGUGCUCCAUGGCGACAUUUUUGUAAUCAUUUUGUUAACGCUUCGCUGCUUUCCAGACGAUUUUCAAAUGUGGAGUAAUUUUUUCUAAGAGAAACAAAAGCAGCGGAACAAGAAUACGCUCAAAUGGCUUUCAGAUCAGUUGGAUAUAUAUCGUGAGUUGCGGUGGAUACAGGGAAAACUACUCUCUGCGAGGUGGUUGGCCCUUCAGCCACUUGAACACAAUCGCCAGCAAAGGAAAGCAAUUAUGUAAGAAGGGGAACACGGGAAAACACAAAAGGAACAACAAUCGAUGGACAUCGAGGUGAAUGCGAACGAUGCCCUAAACAUUUCCGUUGCAUUCGAGCCAUGCGAAAGACAACAGCAAAUUCCGAAGUCACAUGCACGCACGGCUACACUAACACACAUUUGCGGAAGACACGCCAAAGCGGAAACGGAAACGCAGCCCAUAAGCGGAGUGCCAGAAGGAGAGGCAACAAGGACACGAAUAACAGUCGCCGUCAAAUUUGUGGGAAACGUGAAUUUUGUGAUUUGAACUGGGGAUUGCCAUAAGGUGGAUAAGUCUUAGCAGAGGAAUAAUGGUUUUGCUAAUCUAAGCACAAAAUAAAACUAUUUUAAAUAUUUU